GUGAACGCUGGCGGUAGGCCUAACACAUGCAAGUCGAACGGCAGCACCGUAAGAGCUUGCUCUUACGGGUGGCGAGUGGCGGACGGGUGAGGAAUACAUCGGAAUCUACUUUUUCGUGGGGGAUAACGUAGGGAAACUUACGCUAAUACCGCAUACGACCUACGGGUGAAAGCAGGGGAUCUUCGGACCUUGCGCGAUUGAAUGAGCCGAUGUCGGAUUAGCUAGUUGGCGGGGAAAAGGCCCACCAAGGCGACGAUCCGUAGCUGGUCUGAGAGGAUGAUCAGCCACACUGGAACUGAGACACGGUCCAGACUCCUACGGGAGGCAGCAGUGGGGAAUAUUGGACAAUGGGCGCAAGCCUGAUCCAGCCAUACCGCGUGGGUGAAGAAGGCCUUCGGGUUGUAAAGCCCUUUUGUUGGGAAAGAAAAGCAGCAGGUUAAUACCCCGCUGUUCUGACGGUACCCAAAGAAUAAGCACCGGCUAACUUCGUG
rnacentral:rRNA from 1 species